ensembl:lncRNA
AAUUUACAAUGCAGGUUGGAGCCUUUAGCAAACAGGCAGUGUGUUGCGUUUUAUGAAGCAGGACAGAGAGUACCACUAGGAAAGAACAGACCAUCAAAGAUCACAACCACCCAGUUAGUUAUUGUUAAUAAGGAUUAAAUUACUGUUAAUAAGGGUUAGGAUUAAAUUACUGUUAAUAAGGGUUAGGAUUAAAGUUACUGCUAACAAGGGUUAGGAAUGGAGUUACUGUUAAUAAGAGUUAGGAUUAGAGUUACUGUUAAUAAAGGUUAGGAUUAGAGUUACUGUUAAUAAAGGUUAGGAUUAGAGUUACUGUUAAUAAAGGUUAGGAUUAGAGUUACUGUUAAUAAAGGUUAGGAUUAGAGUUACUGUUAAUAAAGGUUAAGUCUGCUUUUCCCAAUCCUGGUCCGGUGGAUGUUCCUAGGGCAAACAUUUUGCAACCCUUGGGAUCCCCAGGAACAAUAAAUAGUACAUUGUUGUUCUGCCUUUUCCUAUCACCUCCCUAGGCUGAGGGACUGCCUGCUUCCACA